rnacentral:lncRNA from 1 species
ACUGUUAAAAAUUUACCGACACAUCAGAAAAAACAUCCAGAUACAUCCAUAAUCACAUCACAGAGAUCUAGCCGAUUCUCAUGUUCUAUGUAAAAAUUUAAAGAUCGUUACGGUUCGAUCGAAUUUUUCGGAUUUUUUCUAUGAUUAGAUCAUUCUCAUUUUGUCAUUUUACAUGUGCUACGAUUUGUUGUUUUAUUACAACAAUAUUGCCAAGCAAAAUGCGAGAUAAUGUAUUUUAUAAUUCCUAAAAAUUUAAUCGAGAUCCGAGACGGAUCAGUUGCAUUUUUUUGUAUUAUUGGUUAUGGAUGUAAAUUU